CCAUAGCCCCGAUUGCAGAGGAAAUCCUUUUGCGGGCUUCGACAGGCUUAGCCUGACAGCGGCUGGAAGCAAAAGAUUGCAACGAAAAGCGGGAAAUUGC
rnacentral:sRNA from 1 species